rnacentral:rRNA from 1 species
GACGAGGUGCACAAACGUUAUUCGGAAUUACUGGGCUUAAAGCGUGCGUAGGCGGUCCGGUAAGUCGGUUGUGAAAGUCGGGGGCUCAACCCUCGGAUGCCGAUCGAUACUGGUCGGGCUAGAGUCCGGAAGAGGCGAGUGGAAUUCCUGGUGUAGCGGUGAAAUGCGCAGAUAUCGAGGAGGAACACCAAUGGCGAAGGCAGCUGCGCUGGGACGGUACUGACGCGUGGAGGC